rnacentral:rRNA from 1 species
GUGAGGAAUAUUGGACAAUGGAUGGAAAUCUGAUCCAGCCAUGCCGCGUGCAGGAAGACGGCCCUAUGGGUUGUAAACUGCUUUUGUAUGGGAGCAAUAAGGGUUACGUGUAGCCCGAUGAGAGUACCAUACGAAUAAUGACCGGCUAACUCCGUGCCAGCAGCCGCGGUAAUACGGAGGGUCCGAGCGUUAUCCGGAGUUAUUGGGUUUACAGGGUGCGUAGGCGGUUUUAUAAGUGAGCGGUGAAAUUUUCCUGCUCAACCGGGAUACUGCCGUUGAUACUGUAAGGCUAGGAUAUGGUUGCUGUGGGUGGAAUGUGUGGUGUAGCUGUGAAAUGCUUAGAGAUCACACAGAAUAUCGAUUGCGAAGGCAGCUCACAAAGCCAUUAUUGACGCUGAGGCACGAAAGUGUGGGGAUCAAACAGGAUUAGAAACCCGAGUAGUCC